CAGCCGCCACGGGAAUACGUAGGUGGCGAGCGUUGUCCGGAAUUAUUGGGCGUAAAGGGAGCGCAGGCGGACGUAUAAGCCCAUAUUAAAAGCGCGGGGCUCAACCCCGUGAGGGGAUGGAAACUGUAUGCCUUGAGUGCAGGAGAGGAAAGCGGAAUUCCCAGUGUAGCGGUGAAAUGCGUAGAUAUUGGGAGGAACACCAGUGGCGAAGGCGGCUUUUUGGCCUGUAACUGACACUGAGGCGCGAAAGCGUGGGGAGCAACAGGAUUAGAUACCCCCGUAGUCCCUGUCUCUUAUACAC
rnacentral:rRNA from 1 species